GUCUUUGUGAAGAACUCUAGACCAGGAAGUGCCGUAUGACACUCUAAACAGCAGCUGCUUCUCUGCUGCUGCAAGUGCCCAUACAUGUAUCUUAACCUCCGUGGUUUGUUCUGGGGUGGAAAUCCCAUUUGCAGUUGCUUGUUUCAGCUGGUGUGUGAUUUGGAACGGGUCUCUGAAGGC
rfam:Triticum aestivum genome assembly, contig: Triticum_aestivum_CS42_TGACv1_scaffold_344263_4DL